CCUACGGGAGGCAGCAGUGGGGGAUAUUGCACAAUGGGGGAAACCCUGAUGCAGCGACGCCGCGUGUGGGAAGACGGUCCUCUGGUUUGUAAACCACUGUCCCCAGGGACGAAGAUGACGGUACCUGGGGAGGAAGCUCCGGCUAAUUACGUGCCAGAAGCCGCGGUAAUACGAGGGGAGAAAGCGUUGUCCGGAAUUACUGGGGGAAAGGGCAGCGAAGGGGGGAUGGAAAGUAGAGUUGAAAAUCUACCGGUUAAACUGGGAGUCGCACUUGAAACUGUUAUUCUUGAGUGAAGUAGAGGUAGGUGGAAUUCCUGGUGUAGCGGUGAAAUGCGUAGAGAUUAGGAGGAA
rnacentral:rRNA from 1 species